GCCUACGACCAUCUCACCCUGAAUGCGCCCGAUCUCGUCUGAUCUCGGAAGCUAAGCAGGGUCGAGCCUGGGUCGAGCCUGGAUGGGAGACUGCCUGGGAAUACCAGGUGUUGUAGGCU
rnacentral:rRNA from 1 species